rnacentral:rRNA from 1 species
AUUGAACGCUGGCUGCAGGCCUAACACAUGCAAGUCGAACGAGAGGCGGGCGGGUGAGUAAUGUCUGGGAAACUGCCUGAUGGAGGGGGAUAACUACUGGAAACGGUAGCUAAUACUGCAUACCCUCGAAUGUGCCCAGAUGGGAUUAGUUAGUAGGUGGGGUAACGGCUCACCUAGGCGACGAUCCCUAGCUGGUCUGAGAGGAUGACAAGUCCCACUGGAACGGAGGCACGGUACCGACUCCUACGCGAGGCAGCAGUGGGGAAUAUUGUACAAUGGGCGGAAGCCGGCUGCAACCAUGCCGAGUGUAUGAAGAAGGCAUUCGGGUUGUAAAGGACUUUCAGCUGGGAGGCGUUACCCGAAGAAGAAGCACCGGCUAACUCCGUGCCAGCAGUCGCGGUAAUUC